UACGUGACACUUAGCACAUACUGCUCUCAGAGGCCCCAGAUGGAUCAUUAAUGCUCGGAACGUGCGUGCUUUAUGGAGAAACCGCCUAAUCAACGGAGGCCCAUUCUGAAAGAAAAAGGAAGUUCUCGUCGCAGAAAGAAAAUAAUACCAAAGGGAAACAAAAUUUCAAGAAGGAAUAAAGAACAGUGGAAGAGUAAAUAUGAAGACCAAGAGCAGUGAUGACCUUUUAGCUGGAAUGGCCAGAGGGGUAACGGUGACUAAUGGUGUUAAAGGGAAGGAAAGCUCCUGCCCAUCUGCAGCACCUUCGGCAUCUGCCCCUGCCAUGACCACUGUGGAGAACAAAUCCAAGAUUAGCACAGGGCACCAACUGGACAGAGGCCUCCGGUCAGCCUCACUCUGACUGCAACCCCCUCUCACUGGACAGCAUCACCUGGACACAGAGCCUCACCUAGUCUGUGUCCCAUGGACACAACUUUGCUUUGGACAGUGACACCAAGAAUACUCACCCCUUUACUUAGCCAGACCACAGGCAGCCACCUGGACACAAACAUCUCUCCAGAGUCAGCCUCCACACAGACUCCAC
rnacentral:lncRNA from 1 species